rnacentral:rRNA from 1 species
UACGGAGGAUGCGAGCGUUAUCCGGAUUUAUUGGGUGUAAAGGGUGCGUAGGCGGACUGUCAAGUCAGCGGUAAAAUUGAGAGGCUCAACCUCUUCCCGCCGUUGAAACUGGUGGUCUUGAGUGGAUGAGAAGUACGCGGAAUGCGUGGUGUAGCGGUGAAAUGCAUAGAUAUCACGCAGAACUCCGAUUGCGAAGGCAGCGUACCGGCAUCCAACUGACGCUGAGGCACGAAAGCGUGGGGAUCAAACAGG